AUGCACGCUGGCGCGUGCCUAAUACAUGCACGUCGAGCGAACAGACGAGGAGCUUGCUCCUCUGACGUUAGCGGCGGACGGGUGAGUAACACGUGGAUAACCUACCUAUAAGACUGGGAUAACUUCGGGAAACCGGAGCUAAUACCGGAUAAUAUAUUGAACCGCAUGGUUCAAUAGUGAAAGACGGUUUUGCUGUCACUUAUAGAUGGAUCCGCGCCGCAUUAGCUAGUUGGUAAGGUAACGGCUUACCAAGGCAACGAUGCGUAGCCGACCUGAGAGGGUGAUCGGCCACACUGGAACUGAGACACGGUCCAGACUCCUACGGGAGGCAGCAGUAGGGAAUCUUCCGCAAUGGGCGAAAGCCUGACGGAGCAACGCCGCGUGAGUGAUGAAGGUCUUCGGAUCGUAAAACUCUGUUAUUAGGGAAGAACAAAUGUGUAAGUAACUAUGCACGUCUUGACGGUACCUAAUCAGAAAGCCACGGCUAACUACGUG
rnacentral:rRNA from 1 species